ensembl:lncRNA
GUCCUUCCUCCUAGGGAACUAGUCUUUUUCAUCCAUGGGUUCUGGAAGUGAAACCUGCCUUAGAUCAUGAAACUGGUGGGGGUUGGGGAGGUAAGACAGUAAUAUUUCAUGGGAGAUAGCAAACUUCGAACUUCUAAUAAUCCCUCCUUGACUUCCUUUAGUUUUUACAAAUGUGCAAUAUUCUUGUCAGCUGUCUAGCUAUGUUUUCCCUAGGCCUGGCAUGUUCUGUUAAAUAUCAACAUAUCUCUGAGAGUCAGCUCCCCCUGGCUGCUCCUGUGACCUUGUUGCACUGCCCUCUAUUUCGGGUUUCUAUAUUUCCCAUUUUACAAGAGAUGCUUCAGGUCCUGGAUGUCGAUGUCUAAUCUGCCCUCUAUUCUGUAUUAUAAAACAACAUCUUCUACCAUCGGUCCUGGUCCUCAGAGUAGAGUCACAACUGACCUUCACAACAAUAUGCAUCCCUCUCACCUUAUUGCUGUGGACAACAAAAUGUUUUCCAUCCAGACCCUUAAAGAAUGUACUCACAGGUGCUGGGUUUGUAAAGGAUGAUAACAGCAUGUAAAAUCUACUCAAAAGAGAUCCAUUUUAAUUUACAAUAUAACCCCUCUAGCUAUAGAAAAAAAGCCUUCUGCCCUACAAUAAUGUUCUUUAAAAUGUCUUUCUGUCUUCUGGGAGCAAAGCAGCAAGAAACAGAGCUCUACUGGAGAAGUCGGACCGUCUAGUUGCAGGAAAAUGACCUCAAGUCUCCCACUGAUUCUACAUUAUGCAUAACAUUCUUCUCAUCAAACACUUUGGAAUAAUGCCUAUUGAGGGAUGUGAUGUAUUCUCACAUCACAAGACAUUUAGUACAUGGAGACAGGUGGGAGCUAAACACUGGAACACAUGGACACAAAGAUGGCAGCAAGAGACACUGGAAACUACUAGAGAGAGAAGGAAAGGAGCAGGGCAAACAUACUACGCCCAGGACCCGGAAGACGGGAUUAAUGAAACCCCAAACCUCAGCGUCCCAGGUAACCCAGCCUUCCUUUUGCCUUCUUCAUGGGACUGUAAAAAGUUGUUGAUACAAUGGUCCAAAAUGGACGGCCAGAGAUCUAUUACAGCAAAGAGAGUGUUUGGCUGGGAAAGCCUGAAUUUGAGCUUCACAGCUCAUAAAGGUGAGCACAGCCCUUUACUAAAAGUUAGAACACUGCGGGGUGUUUAA